GUGUACGUAUCUUCAAGAAUUCAAUUUUGAAGUAGUGUACAUAAAAGGAAACCAGAACAUAAUAGCGGAUGCUCUUUCUUGAUUACCACAAGGCUUAGAGGAAUUCAAUGAUCUUUCAGAGCAGGAAGGGGAAAUGGAAGACAAAACUCUCUGACCAUGCUAUGUCCACAUGUGUAAACACAUGGAGAAAUUACACCAGGAAAACACACACUGGAAUAAGGAACCAUCCCGAACAAGAACAAUGGCACAUGUGUGUGCCAGAGGAAUAUGUGGAUGAUUUUACCAUGUCCAUAUACAAUACUGCAAAGUGCACUGACAAAAUAGGGAGUGGUAGCGAAAGGACGUGUGCUUGGAUCCAUUGUACGAAUAUUGUUAAAAAUGUGCAUUUUAACCGUUCAUUAAAAGUAUUAUAAAAAGUUAUUAGAAAAGGAAUAUUUAUUUGCACAGUCAUAAUUUCAUAUCCUAUCUGUUCAUCAUUUUACUCACUGCCGAGAUCCUGCAUCAAGAGGUUUGGUGCAGACAAUAAUAAUUCACGCGGUACCUGGAGGAGCGUUCUUGCAUUCAACAGUGUCACACUCAAGACUAAACAUAAUGGAAUUAAUGGGAAGGUAAUGACACAGAUUUGAUAGGCAUCUAUUGAACUUGGUUUACUUCUACUGAAAAUAUUGUACUUCGUGUGACAUAUCAACAGUUUCAAUGGUUGUGGUGAUUAUUUGG